AUCUAGAGGCGGUGGACGAGGCUACAGAGGAAGACCAUGGAAGAGGCUGGGAGCCCCUCUCCCAGUCGUGGCCACUGUGGAAGUUGGUGGUACGCCGUGUUGAUCCUGAAACCCUGGGUCAGAGGUGAGAAGAUCCCUGUGGGAUGUGAGCAGCCUGACACCCGCAGACACCCAUCCAUCCCUCCUGGGCCAGGAAAACAGCUUCUGCAUAAAGAAUGCUCAAAGGGCCCAGCAGUGGGGAAGGCAGUUAAGAGACUGGGCCCAGGUGGUCAGAGAAGAACUGGAUUUGGAACCUGGUUCUGGGACCUUGGAGCUGUGUGAGCUCGGGAAGAUCACUUCACCUCUUGAAGCCUCAGUUUCCCCACCUAGUAAAUGAAAUAAUAAUACCUAAUUUGCAAAGUUGUUAUCACCAUGAAUGAGUACCUGUGACACCUGCAAUGCAGAGUCUGUAAGGGAGUGUGUCCUUUCGCUAAGAAGUGUCUAGUUUCCCGUUCAUAGAUGUUGGGUUGAGCAUGUUGGUAACAUUGUCAAGAACCAUCUGCAGUUGGGACACACAAAAGCCCUCUCCCCAACUGCACUUCCAAGGUUGAAUCACAGCCUAUUUUGUUUCUGUAUGUCCUCAGGUGGUUUAUUAGCAGCUCACAUGGCCUUCCAGAAA